rfam:Gossypium hirsutum cultivar TM-1 chromosome 16, whole genome shotgun sequence
UGUUAAAAAUUUUAUCAAUUUUUUUAUUAAAACCUGAUGUGACUGGCGAAAUAACCAGUCAGUUACACAUAACAUGUCACAUGUAUCUUAAGUUGACAUACAAUGACUAGUUUUUAACAAUAAAAUUUAAUAUAAUUUUUAAUA